rnacentral:rRNA from 1 species
UACGUAGGGUGCGAGCGUUAAUCGGAAUUACUGGGCGUAAAGCGUGCGCAGGCGGUUCGUUAAGUUCGAUGUGAAAGCCCCGGGCUCAACCUGGGAACUGCAUUGGAAACUGGCGAGCUUGAAUGCGGCAGAGGGGGGUGGAAUUCCGCGUGUAGCAGUGAAAUGCGUAGAUAUUCGGAAGAACACCAGUGGCGAAGGCAGCGAAUUGGCUCUAUACUGACGCUCAGGCACGAAAGCAUGGGGAUCAAACAGG